rnacentral:rRNA from 1 species
UACGUAGGGUGCAAGCGUUGUCCGGAAUUAUUGGGCGUAAAGAGCUCGUAGGCGGCUUCGUUGCGUCGGCUGUGAAAACCCGCAAGCUCAAACUGUGGGCUUGCAGCUGAUACGGGGCGGGCUGGAGUUCGUAGGGGAGACUGGAAGUUCCUGGAUGUAGCGGUGAAAUGCGCAGAUAUCAGGAGGAACACCGGUGGCGAAGGCGGGUCUCUGGGCCUGUCCUGACGCUCAGGCGCGAAAGCUAGGGGAGCAAACAGG